rnacentral:rRNA from 1 species
UACGUAGGGGCCUAGCGUUGUCCGGAAUUAUUGGGCGUAAAGAGCUCGUAGGCGGCUCGUUGCGUCGGCUGUGAAAACCCACAGCUUAACUGUGGGCCUGCAGCCGAUACGGUCGGACUUGAGGCCAGUAGGGGGAUGCGGAAUUCCGGGUGUAGUGGUGGAAUGCGUAGAGAUCCGGAGGAACACCAGCGGCGAAGGCGGCAUCCUGGACUGGUCCUGACGCUCAGGAGCGAAAGCGUGGGGAGCGAUCCGG